rnacentral:rRNA from 1 species
UUAAGCGACUAAGCGUACACGGUGGAUGCCUAGGCAGUCAGAGGCGAUGAAGGGCGUGCUAAUCUGCGAAAAGCGUCGGUAAGCUGAUAUGAAGCGUUAUAACCGACGAUACCCGAAUGGGGAAACCCAGUGCAAUACGUUGCACUAUCGUUAGAUGAAUACAUAGUCUAACGAGGCGAACCGGGGGAACUGAAACAUCUAAGUACCCCGAGGAAAAGAAAUCAACCGAGAUUCCCCCAGUAGCGGCGAGCGAACGGGGAGGAGCCCAGAGUCUGAAUCAGUUUGUGUGUUAGUGGAAGCGUCUGGAAAGUCGCACGGUACAGGGUGAUAGUCCCGUACACCAAAAUGCACAGGCUGUGAACUCGAUGAGUAGGGCGGGACACGUGACAUCCUGUCUGAAUAUGGGGGGACCAUCCUCCAAGGCUAAAUACUCCUGACUGACCGAUAGUGAACCAGUACCGUGAGGGAAAGGCGAAAAGAACCCCGGCGAGGGGAGUGAAAUAGAACCUGAAACCGUGUACGUACAAGCAGUGGGAGCACCUUCGUGGUGUGACUGCGUACCUUUUGUAUAAUGGGUCAGCGACUUAUAUUUUGUAGCAAGGUUAACCGAAUAGGGGAGCCGUAGGGAAACCGAGUCUUAACUGGGCGUCUAGUUGCAAGGUAUAGACCCGAAACCCGGUGAUCUAGCCAUGGGCAGGUUGAAGGUUGGGUAACACUAACUGGAGGACCGAACCGACUAAUGUUGAAAAAUUAGCGGAUGACUUGUGGCUGGGGGUGAAAGGCCAAUCAAACCGGGAGAUAGCUGGUUCUCCCCGAAAGCUAUUUAGGUAGCGCCUCGUGAACUCAUCUUCGGGGGUAGAGCACUGUUUCGGCUAGGGGCCAUCCCGGCUUACCAAACCGAUGCAAACUCCGAAUACCGAAGAAUGUUAUCACGGGAGACACACGGCGGGUGCUAACGUCCGUCGUGAAGAGGGAAACAACCCAGACCGCCAGCUAAGGUCCCAAAGUCAUGUUAAGUGGGAAACGAUGUGGGAAGGCACAGACAGCCAGGAUGUUGGCUUAGAAGCAGCCAUCAUUUAAAGAAAGCGUAAUAGCUCACUGGUCGAGUCGGCCUGCGCGGAAGAUGUAACGGGGCUAAACAUGCACCGAAGCUGCGGCAGCGAUUUAGGUUGUUGGGUAGGGGAGCGUUCUGUAAGCCGUUGAAGGUGACCUGUGAGGGUUGCUGGAGGUAUCAGAAGUGCGAAUGCUGACAUAAGUAACGAUAAUGCGGGUGAAAAACCCGCCGCCGGAAGACCAAGGGUUCCUGUCCAACGUUAAUCGGGGCAGGGUGAGUCGACCCCUAAGGCGAGGCUGAAAAGCGUAGUCGAUGGGAAACGGUUAAUAUUCCGUACUUGGUGUUACUGCGAAGGGGGACGGAGAAGGCUAGGCUGGCCGGCGACGGUUGUCCCGGUUUAAGCGUGUAGGGGGAGUGACAGGUAAAUCCGGUUGCUUAUCAACCCUGAGCGUGAUGACGAUGCACCACGGUGCAGAAGCAUUGAUGCCAUGCUUCCAGGAAAAGCCUCUAAGCUCAGGUAACAUAAAUCGUACCCCAAACCGACACAGGUGGUCAGGUAGAGAAUACUCAGGCGCUUGAGAGAACUCGGGUGAAGGAACUAGGCAAAAUGGUCCGUAACUUCGGGAGAAGGUACGCUGGCGUAGGUGAAGGAUACUCCUGGAGCUGAAGCCAGUCGCAGAUACCAGCUGGCUGCAACUGUUUAUUAAAAACACAGCACUGUGCAAACACGAAAGUGGACGUAUACGGUGUGACGCCUGCCCGGUGCUGGAAGGUUAAUUGAUGGGGUUAGCCGAAGGCGAAGCUCUUGAUCGAAGCCCCAGUAAACGGCGGCCGUAACUAUAACGGUCCUAAGGUAGCGAAAUUCCUUGUCGGGUAAGUUCCGACCUGCACGAAUGGCGUAAUGAUGGCCAGGCUGUCUCCACCCGAGACUCAGUGAAAUUGAAAUCGCGUGAAGAUGCGUGUACCCGCGGCAGACGGAAAGACCCCGUGAACCUUUACUAUAGCUUGACACUGAACAUUGAGCCUUAAUGUGUAGGAUAGGUGGGAGGCCUUGAAGGUGACGCCAGUUGCAUGGAGCCAACCUUGAAAUACCACCCUUUAUGUUUGAUGUUCUAACUUGGCCCCAUAUCUGGGGUGAGGACAGUGUCUG